CGGGGAAACUCCUCUUGUAAUACCAUGAGAUCUCAUGAGACUUAUUCACUAUCAAAAGAACAGCACGAGAAAGACCUGCCCCCAUGAUUCUAUUACCUCCCACAACACAUGGGAAUUCAAGAUGAGAUUUGGGUGGGGACAAAGAGCCAAACCAUAUCAUUCCACCCCUGGCUCCUCUCAAAUCUCAUGUCUUUAUAUUUCAAAACCAAUCUACAUUCCAGUUGAUUUUUCAACAUGCCCCCUGCAUGUUGCUGAAUUUUAAGCUUCAUGAGGGCAUGUUCACUGCUGUGUCCCAGCACCAUCACCUAGA
rnacentral:lncRNA from 1 species